GGCCCAUUGGUCAAGCGGUCAAGACGUCACCCUCUCACGGUGAAAUCAUGGGUUCGAUUCCCGUAUGGGUCACCA
rnacentral:tRNA from 5 species